GAGAAAAGGUUGAAAGAAAGAAUAAGAAAUGAAGGAGCGUGAAAGUAAGUUUGAACCGAAGAGAUGAGCUUCUCUUGAUGUUAUUGUGGAUUACGUCGACAAUGCUGAAGAAUCUGUUCAGUGUCCUGGUGUUAGUCCUGGACUCCAUUAAUUGUUGUUGGCUGCUUUGUAUAAAAUGGAAAUUCCAUAAGGUCACAAUUUAAACGUCAGAAG